UCCCCUCCUGAGAAUUGGAGCAAAAAUCUUGCAGAGCACCUUGAUCGGUACCGAUGUUCGGUGCGGAAUAUCUGGUAAUGUGAGGCGUUGGCCCUCCCGAUCUGUUCGCCCACAAAUCGGGACCGCCUCGAUCAUAUCAAACAUGUUUGAUAUGUAGGUUUUAAAUCGGGAUGAUGAAUAAUAUGUGGAAAACAUAUCACAACUUUAAGGAGAAAGAGAAGAGCUGCAGUGAAAUCACCUCAGUUUUGAAUGUACGGGUGAGUACAGAAAGCUGCUAGCUAAUGUAAACGUCACUGAAAUAUCAAUGACAAUCUGUUGCAUGAGAUCAAGUGAGGCGCUCCCGCUGGCAUGAUAAUCUUAAUAAUAUCUUGUAGUUGUCACAUUUUUGCAUUUUUCAGUUUCUAAUAAGGAUCAGGUGACAGGAGAGAUCAGCGUGAGGGCGACUUGUUUCAGAUCCAUGAGGAAGACAGAGAAGCCACGUAGUCUGAGAGUAGGCAGACAAACAUAAAGACCUGAAAUAUGUUUUGUUGUUCAUAUUUUGUUUUUUCUUGUCAAAUUUAUAAUAAUUUCUACAGUAUAUGUUGAUGCAGGUAUGACAAGUCUCUUAAGUAAAUGUUUAGCACUUUAAAGGGAAAAUAAGUCAUAUUGUAAUGUUUAUGCAUAUGUUCUAUAAUUUGGGGUCUUUUAAUUGAUAUUUUGUCAUUGUAUCAUUGUCUACAGAUUGUGUUAAAGGACUCCAGCCCUGUCAUACUGUCCCAGCGUAGCUGUUCUUGUGUUGCUGGCACUGCACUGUGUAAUCCCAUAGUUGCACUACUAUAGCAGACAGCACACUACUCUCAGCUUGGCAUCAGUGCAGUUCCUCCAGUGAGCAGCUGUACUGAAACUGAGCAGAACUGGCACAGACCAAGAACAAUGGGAAUUCGGCCAGGUCCUGUCAGUGGGAUGGUGGUUUUAUCUGCACGACCUAAAGAGAGGAAAUUUGCUGCUGGCUUAAGGAGUACCUUGUAUUAAAGGUGUUGCCGGUGAGCUGCCUGACCUCUCAGUCCUGCAAUAAGGACUUUGCCACCACUACAGCCCCUUUAGUCACCACAAUUGGGAUGUCCAACGCUGAUUCUUUGGUGGAUUCUGCCUUUGGUAAAGUCCAGGCUGCGAGUGUUCUGUUGUAACAACAGCCAGCAGCAACAACCUGCAACAUCACUCCCCAUAAAGAUGCCCCACCACCUCCACCACUAGGUGGUUACAGCCUUGACCCAUCUGUGUGUGUAUUUGUAUAUAGCAAACAUGAACUACUACACAUGGAGUCACUGGCUGUAACUCUGGAAAUGCCACACAAAAUUGAGCAUGCCACCAAAGACCAGAGUGCAUCACUGGAUUGGCACUCAGUUCAAGAGCCCCGGGUAACAUCGUCCCGUUUUAGGGAGGUUUGUCCAGAGCUCAGCUGAACUCCUGGCUGAAAGGAUCCACAGAGGAACUCACCAGUCAGCGGACAUGAAGAGAGGCCUUGAAAUGGAGUCUGCAGUGGUAGAGGAAUGCUGUCUGUUGCGUGACGGAACUUCUAUCCUUGUGGAUUCUUAAUUCACCCAGAUGAUGGCUUGGCAGCUCUCCUGAUCAUCAUGGGCAUCAUUUAUGACCC